rnacentral:rRNA from 1 species
AUUGAACGCUGGCGGCAGGCCUAACACGUGCAAGUCGAACGGUAACAGGAAGCAGCUUGCUGCUUCGCUGACGAGUGGCGGACGGGUGAGUAAUGUCUGGGAAGCUGCCUGAUGGAGGGGGAUAACUACUGGAAACGGUAGCUAAUACCGCAUAAUGUCGCAAGACCAAAGAGGGGGACCUUCGGGCCUCUUGCCAUCGGAUGUGCCCAGAUGGGAUUAGCUUGUUGGUGGGGUAACGGCUCACCAAGGCGACGAUCCCUAGCUGGUCUGAGAGGAUGACCAGCCACACUGGGACUGAGACACGGUCCAGACUCCUACGGGAGGCAGCAGUGGGGAAUAUUGCACAAAGGGCGCAAGCCUGAUGCAGCCAUGCCGCGUGUAUGAAGAAGGCCUUCGGGUUGUAAAGUACUUUCAGCGGGGAGGAAGGGAGUAAAGUUAAUACCUUUGCUCAUUGACGUUACCCGCAGAAGAAGCACCGGCUAACUCCGUG